AGGAGCGGAAGUAAAACACGACCUUCGUAGGUAGUGAAAACGAAAGUUAGGUGAGACUACAAAAGCGUUUCCUAUGUUAUUUAAUACUGUUCUACUGGUUACAGUUUUUAUUCUGUUGGCUCACUGCAAAUAGAAGAUCACUAUGUCAUCUGGAAAGAUUGCUGUUGUGAUGUUGGAAAGUCUUGCUGGGACUGGGCACAAAAUUUUUAGACAAAGACCUAAAACAGCAGAAAAAUUAGAGUUCCUGUUCUUUGAUCCACGUGUUCAGCGACAAGUAUUAUACAGAGAAACAAAAAAAGUGAAGACAUUACGAUCUAAAUCAAAUUGACCUCCCCCUUUUAACUUUCCUGCCAUUUUUCAAUUUUGUGAUGUCUGUUGUGUGGAUGCUGGACAUGGGUGUUUUACAUGUCAAAUAAAAGUUGUAGAAGUAGAAGAUUGUGCUGUUGUUAUUGGCUUUGAUUGGCUGGUAUUGCGGUAUGGAAGUUGUGGAUGACACAAAGCAAUCUGGGUUAUGAACCAAUAUUAGUUAGUAUUAU